AGAGUUUGAUCCUGGCUCAGGAUGAACGCUGGCGGCGUGCCUAAUACAUGCAAGUCGAACGCUUCACUUCGGUGAAGAGUGGCGAACGGGUGAGUAAUACAUAAGUAACCUGGCCUUUACAGGGGGAUAACUAUUGGAAACGAUAGCUAAGACCGCAUAGGUGUCAUAACCGCAUGGAGAUGACAUGAAAUAUGCUACGGCAUAGGUAGAGGAUGGACUUAUGGCGCAUUAGCUAGUUGGAGGGGUAACGGCCCACCAAGGCGACGAUGCGUAGCCGACCUGAGAGGGUGACCGGCCACACUGGGACUGAGACACGGCCCAGACUCCUACGGGAGGCAGCAGUAGGGAAUUUUCGGCAAUGGGGGAAACCCUGACCGAGCAACGCCGCGUGAAGGAAGAAGUAAUUCGUUAUGUAAACUUCUGUCAUAGAGGAAGAACGGUGCAUGUAGGGAAUGACAUGCAAGUGACGGUACUCUAUAAGAAAGCCACGGCUAACUACGUGCCAGCAGCCGCGGUAAUACGUAGGUGGCGAGCGUUAUCCGGAAUUAUUGGGCGUAAAGAGGGAGCAGGCGGCACUAAGGGUCUGUGGUGAAAGAUCGAAGCUUAACUUCGGUAAGCCAUGGAAACCGUAGAGCUAGAGUGUGUGAGAGGAUCGUGGAAUUCCAUGUGUAGCGGUGAAAUGCGUAGAUAUAUGGAGGAACACCAGUGGCGAAGGCGACGAUCUGGCGCAUAACUGACGCUCAGUCCCGAAAGCGUGGGGAGCAAAUAGGAUUAGAUACCCUAGUAGUCCACGCCGUAAACGAUGAGUACUAAGUGUUGGGAGUCAAAUCUCAGUGCUGCAGUUAACGCAAUAAGUACUCCGCCUGAGUAGUACGUUCGCAAGAAUGAAACUCAAAGGAAUUGACGGGGGCCCGCACAAGCGGUGGAGCAUGUGGUUUAAUUCGAAGCAACGCGAAGAACCUUACCUGCUCUUGACAUCCCGCUGACCGGCAUGUAAUGAUGCCUUUUCUUCGGAACACCGGUGACAGGUGGUGCAUGGUUGUCGUCAGCUCGUGUCGUGAGAUGUUGGGUUAAGUCC
rnacentral:rRNA from 1 species